UUCCGGUUGAUCCUGCCGGAGGCUACCGCUAUUGGAGUUCGAUUAAGCCAUGCGAGUCGCGAGUCCUAGGGACUCGGCGUACCGCUCAGUAACACGUGGGUAACCUGCCCUAUGCUGGGGGAUAACCUCGGGAAACUGAGAAUAAUACCCCAUAGUUCACCACGCCUGGAACGGUGGGUGGAUGAAAGCUCCGGCGGCAUAGGAUGGGCCUGCGGCGUAUCAGGUUGUAGGGGGUGUAAUGUACCCUCUAGCCAUCUACGCGUACGGGUGUUGAGAGACAUCGCCCGGAGAUGGAUUCUGAGACACGAAUCCAGACCCUACGGGGUGCAGCAGGCGCGAAAACUUGGCAAUGCGAGCAAUCGUGACCAGGGAACUCCAAGUGCAUCGGGUAAGACCGAUGCUUUUCUUGACUCUUCAAAGGUCUUGGAAUAAGGGGUGGGUAAGGACGGUGCCAGCCGCCGCGGUAAUACCGGCGCCUCAAGUGGUAGUCGCUUUUAUUGGGCCUAAAACGUCCUUAGCCGGUUUGGUACAUUCGUGGGUAAAUCAAGGCGCUCAACGUCUUGAAUUCUGCGAGCACGGCCAGACUUGGGACCGGGUGAGGUGUGGGGUACUCUCAGGGUAGGGGUAAAAUCCUGUCAUCCUGAGAGGACCACCUGUUGCGAAGGCGCCACACUAGAACGGAUCCGACGGUCAGGGACGAAGCCUAGGGGCACGAACCGGAUUAGAUACCCGGGUAGUCCUAGGUGUAAACGCUGUGGACUUGAUGUUGGGAGUGCUCCGAGCACCCUCAGUGUCGAAGCGAAGGUGAUAAGUCCACUGCCUGGGGAGUACGGUCGCAAGGCUGAAACUUAAAGGAAUUGGCGGGGGAGCACUGCAACCUGAGGAUUGUGCGGUUUAAUUGGAGUCAACGCCGGA
rnacentral:rRNA from 1 species